rnacentral:tRNA from 1 species
GCGGGAGUAAUUCAGCGGUAGAAUGUCUGCUUCCCAAGCAGGAAGUCGCGAGUUCGAAUCUCGUCUCCCGCUCCA